GUGCUUGCUUUGGCAGCACAUACACUAAAACUGGAACAAUACAGAGAUGAGCAUGGCCCUUGCACAAGGAUGACAUGCAAAUUCCUUAAGCAUUCCAUAUUUUU